ACGGGGAAGUUGGUCUUGGCGUUGCGCCCGCUCAUCAGGAUGGCAGCCUCAUCGUACGCCCGCGCAGCCUCCUCCGCCGUCUCAAAGGGUAAAAAGAAAUGGAGGGAGUACAACUUGGAGCAUCUUCUUCACUAAUCUCCCCUAAUAAUAAAGCGCGCGGCGCUUCUGGCGUCCGUCGUCGGUCAUUUUUCAUAAAAGCCCUCGCAGUUUCAGGUGCAGACGAGAUGAUGACAUGUGGCACACCAAGGCAACAACUCUUUUGCAAAAAGACCCUCAUUUGCCUGGCAUUUGUCGUGCGUGCUCAUAUGUCGGUGGGUGCCACCUUAGUGGACAUGAGAAAGAAGUAAUAAUAUGCCAAGAGCGGGGUCGAACCCAAGACCUUCCUUGCGGAUUAUGGGAGCUCCUACCUGUCGCUCUUUGUUGUCAAGAUUCAAAAAAUGUUUGUGCUUUAAAAAAUUGUUCUGUCAAAA